UACGUAGGGACCGAGCGUUGUCCGGAUUCAUUGGGCGUAAAGAGCUCGUAGGCGGCUGCUCAAGUCGAAUGUGAAAACUCGAGGCUCAACCUCGAGCCUGCAUUCGAUACUGGGCGGCUAGAGUCUGGUAGGGGGAUCUGGAAUUCCUGGUGUAGCGGUGGAAUGCGCAGAUAUCAGGAGGAACACCGGUGGCGAAGGCGGGAUCCUGGCCAGUACUGACGCUGAGGAGCGAAAGCGUGGGAGCAACAGG
rnacentral:rRNA from 1 species